rfam:Alicyclobacillus acidoterrestris ATCC 49025 contig_45, whole genome shotgun sequence.
AGUGGAAAAGGGUAAACCGUUCCUAAAGGACGGGGCACAAAGCCAUGGGGCUACAGCGUUUACGCCAUGCCUGCCAGGUUGCCGUU